CCUAAUACAUGCAAGUCGAGCGGAAGAUGGGAGCUUGCUCCCUGAUGUUAGCGGCGGACGGGUGAGUAACACGUGGGUAACCUGCCUGUAAGACUGGGAUAACUCCGGGAAACCGGGGCUAAUACCGGAUGCUUGUUUGAACCGCAUGGUUCAAACAUAAAAGGUGGCUUCGGCUACCACUUACAGAUGGACCCGCGGCGCAUUAGCUAGUUGGUGAGGUAAUGGCUCACCAAGGCAACGAUGCGUAGCCGACCUGAGAGGGUGAUCGGCCACACUGGGACUGAGACACGGCCCAGACUCCUACGGGAGGCAGCAGUAGGGAAUCUUCCGCAAUGGACGAAAGUCUGACGGAGCAACGCCGCGUGAGUGAUGAAGGUUUUCGGAUCGUAAAGCUCUGUUGUUAGGGAAGAACAAGUGCCGUUCAAAUAGGGCGGCACCUUGACGGUACCUAACCAGAAAGCCACGGCUAACUACGUGCCAGCAGCCGCGGUAAUACGUAGGUGGCAAGCGUUGUCCGGAAUUAUUGGGCGUAAAGGGCUCGCAGGCGGUUUCUUAAGUCUGAUGUGAAAGCCCCCGGCUCAACCGGGGAGGGUCAUUGGAAACUGGGGAACUUGAGUGCAGAAGAGGAGAGUGGAAUUCCACGUGUAGCGGUGAAAUGCGUAGAGAUGUGGAGGAACACCAGUGGCGAAGGCGACUCUCUGGUCUGUAACUGACGCUGAGGAGCGAAAGCGUGGGGAGCGAACAGGAU
rnacentral:rRNA from 1 species